GGGGAAUUUUGGACAAUGGGCGCAAGCCUGAUCCAGCCAUGCCGCGUGUCUGAAGAAGGCCUUCGGGUUGUAAAGGACUUUUGUCGGGGAGGAAAUCCUCUGGGUUAAUACCCUGGGGGGAUGACAGUACCUGAAGAAUAAGCACCGGCUAACUACGUGCCAGCAGCCGCGGUAAUACGUAGGGUGCAAGCGUUAAUCGGAAUUACUGGGCGUAAAGCGUGCGCAGGCGGUUGUGCAAGUCUGAUGUGAAAUCCCCGGGCUUAACCUGGGAACUGCAUUGGAGACUGCACGGCUAGAGUGCGUCAGAGGGGGGUGGAAUUCCGCGUGUAGCAGUGAAAUGCGUAGAGAUGCGGAGGAACACCGAUGGCGAAGGCAGCCCCCUGGGAUGACACUGACGCUCAUGCACGAAAGCGUGGGGAGCAAAC
rnacentral:rRNA from 1 species